UAAAUAAAUAAAUAAAUAAAUAAAUAAAUAAAUAAAGUAAGUAAGUAAGUAAAUAAGUAAGUAAGUAAGUAAGUAAGUAAGUAAGUAAGUAAGUCAUGUGCACACUUACCUGGAUGUAAGCCUCACCAAGAUUUACCACUGAUUAACCGUUCUGUCAAUAUUUAAAACAUUUUCACAACUGUAACUAGAUUUGGGCUAAAGUGGAGCUAGCCUACAUAUAUUAAAGUGAAAGACUAUGAAAUUCAAAUAUUUUGUCAUUUUGAGCUCAUAACAAAGUUUGUGGCACUAUUUAAAAACAUGUCACAUCACACCACACAAACACAGUUCUUGUUGUAGCACAACUGUGCCAGAUACUUUGUAUAUAUAUCUACUCUCAUGCCAAUUCCAUCCAGCAAAAUAAUGCUUCAGAAGCUCAGUGGUCUUACUUACUGGAUCUGUCACAGUUGCCGGAAACAUCAGGAUUUCCUUGACAAAGCAGGCUUGAUUGCAGACACAGCUUUUCAAGUCCUGAGGAGGAGGCCGGAGGCAGCAGCAGCCCCGGCCGCCGCCGGGCCGCCAUGGAGCCCAAAAGGCGGGACGAGAAGGGAGAGAAAGCGCCGCGGCUCGGAAGGCGGGCCCGGAUGGAGGAGGUGGCAGCCGCCGGGAGAGAGGGAGGGACGGAGGGAAGCAAGCGGCGGGCAAUUGUUGUUGUCGUUGUCGUCCUUCGCCCACCGCCGGACAAAAGCGGGAGCUAUGAGGUGGGCGGGUGGGUGGCCGCCAUCCUCUCUCUCUCUCAGCUCGUCCACCCCGCUGAGGAGCUGGCGGCUGCUUCCCAGCAGGGAGCCCCAGGCGGGUCAGGAGAGGCGGUGACACGCGUGCCGCUCUCGCUCGGGCCCACGGACGCGCGCCUCUUUUGACUCGGGUCGGCAGGAGCUUAGAGGACGAGGAGGCGGCGGCGGCGGCCCUGGCCCUCUUUCCGCCAGUAAGGCUAGACUGUGGAGGUACCGAGGGUUGCCUCGGCGAGAGGACAGCCGGGCUCGGUCCUUCCGCGUGCCUGGGUUGGAGGUGCUUGCACCAGAGCAGCCUUUGGACUGAGGGCCCGACCCGCUAAAGCCGCAACACUCUCCACAGCCCGCUCCAAAAACUCUUCCUGGCCUUCUGAUGUCUGCCACAUUUUAAUCUCAGUUAAAGGCUUUUUCCUUUCCAGAAUCUGGAGGGCCAUCAUUCGGGCAACCUUGUCCUCUCUGGGUGGGUGGGGGGACUUGAAGCAUUCAGGGAGGUUGGCAGGUCUUUGGGUCCGAGUCCUUGUGACCAAGUCCCGAGUCCUAAGUUUAGGGCGGUAUUAAAAUCAAGCUCUCUCCUCUCCAUCCCAGAAAAAAAGGGAGAGGGUGGGCGAGUAGUGAAUCACAAUUCGAGUCCGAGUCAUUAAGGAAAAAAACCCGAAUCCACUCGAGUCCUCGGAAGUCCGAUUUGGCAACAAGUCCCAUGACUCAAUUCCCCAUCCCUGGAAAUAUGUACAGUAUAAAUAUACCUACUUGUCCCACCCAUGUGUUCUCCAGAUACGAACUACAAAGCCCUUCAUCCACCACCAGCAGUGCCAUGGACAUGGAAGGGUCAGGGCAGGAACAGGUGUUAUACAUCACCAGUAAUUAGAAGAGGACACUUCUUAAGUGGCUGUUGUGGGUUUUUCGGGCUCUUUGGCCAUGUUUUCCUGAUGUUUUGCUAGUCUCUUUACAUACACACAAGUCAGUGGAAAUCCUUUAUAUACACACAGGAAGAUUGGUCGAUUGGAAUGCAUUAAAAUCUAUUUAAUGCAUUCCAAUUGGGGAAAAAUCACUGUUCUGUGAAAAUUAUCAAUAGAAGACAUCCUCUUGCAAAACACAGUUCCCCCAUACCAUAUUUGGAAAACACAAUCCCUUCAACUGCACUGCCUUUGGAAAUUCAAUGGGUCUCCCAGGGUCUUCCCUCUCUUUGAAAGAGGAUGAAAAAAAUCAAGCAGCCCCCUGGCUCUUGAUAACAGUGACUCUUUUUGCCCCAAUCCUUUACCAUAGGGGAGAAAAAGAGAAAGAAUGCAAUAUAAGACAUUGCUAAGACUUGCUGUUUACAAUAAAUCCUGAUUAGAGAAAAGAAAAUGAAUCUAG
ensembl:lncRNA